UAAUUGAAGAGUUUGAUCAUGGCUCAGAUUGAACGCUGGCGGCAGGCCUAACACAUGCAAGUCGGGCGGUAACAGGGAGAAGCUUGCUUCUCCGCUGACGAGCGGCGGACGGGUGAGUAAUGUAUGGGGAUCUGCCUGAUGGCGGGGGAUAACUACUGGAAACGGUAGCUAAUACCGCAUAAUGUCUGCGGACCAAAGCGGGGGACCUUCGGGCCUCGCGCCAUCAGAUGAACCCAUAUGGGAUUAGCUAGUAGGU
rnacentral:rRNA from 1 species